AGUGACAAUAGCUGUGUGGAACCACCCGAUCCCAUCCCGAACUCGGAAGUGAAACGCACAUGCGCCGAUGGUAGUGUGGCCUUGCCAUGCGAGAGUAGGUCAUCGC
rnacentral:rRNA from 1 species